GUAGGGUGCGAGCGUUAAUCGGAAUUACUGGGCGUAAAGCGUGCGCAGGCGGUUCGUUAUGUCCGAUGUGAAAGCCCCGAGCUCAACUUGGGAAUGGCAUUGGAAACUGGCGGGCUGGAGUGUGGCAGAGGGGGGUGGAAUUCCACGUGUAGCAGUGAAAUGCGUAGAGAUGUGGAGGAACACCGAUGGCGAAGGCAGCCCCCUGGGCCAACACUGACGCUCAGGCACGAAAGCGUGGGGAGCAAACAGGAUUAGAUACCCUGGUAGUCCACGCCCUAAACGAUGUCAACUGGGUGUUGGGGAAGCGAUUCCUUGGUACCGUAGCUAACGCGUGAAGUUGACCGCCUGGGGAGUACGGCCGCAAGGUUA
rnacentral:rRNA from 1 species